rnacentral:rRNA from 1 species
UGGGGAAUCUUGCGCAAUGGGCGAAAGCCUGACGCAGCCAUGCCGCGUGAGUGAUGAAGGCCUUAGGGUUGUAAAACUCUUUCACCGGGGACGAUAAUGACGGUACCCGGAGAAGAAGCCCCGGCUAACUUCGUGCCAGCAGCCGCGGUAAUACGAAGGGGGCUAGCGUUGCUCGGAAUUACUGGGCGUAAAGGGCGCGUAGGCGGAUCAGCAAGUUGGGGUGAAAGCCCGGGGCUCAACCUCGGAAUUGCCUUCAAAACUGCUGAUCUAGAGUACGGGAGAGGUGUGUGGAACUCCGAGUGUAGAGGUGAAAUUCGUAGAUAUUCGGAAGAACACCAGUGGCGAAGGCGACACACUGGCCCGUUACUGACGCUGAGGCGCGAAAGCGUGGGGAGCAAACAGGAUUAGAUACCCUGGUAGUCCACGCUGUAAAACGAUGAUUGCUAGUUGUCGGCAGGCAUUGCCUGUCGGUGACGCCAGCUAACGCAUUAAGCAAUCCGCCUGGGGAGUACGGUC